rnacentral:rRNA from 1 species
AUUAGAUACCCCCGUAGUCCCAGCCGUAAACUAUGCUCGCUAGGUGUCAGGCAUGGCGCGACCGUGUCUGGUGCCGCAGGGAAGCCGUGAAGCGAGCCACCUGGGAAGUACGGCCGCAAGGCUGAAACUUAAAGGAAUUGGCGGGGGAGCACAACAACGGGUGGAGCCUGCGGUUUAAUUGGACUCAACGCCGGACAACUCACCGGGGACGACAGCAAUAUGUAGGCCAGGCUGAAGACCUUGCCUGAAUCGCUG